GACGACGGCGAGGUAGGAGGCGUCCAGGUACGCCCUCCUUCUUCUUUCCCUGUUCUGAAUCUCCUCCAUAACCUGCUGCAUCUCCUCCCAUCUCAUGUGCCACUGCUUGCUUUGCUUUCUUCCUUCCAUGGGAAGAUGCAGAUCUCAUCUCUUCUUGUUCUACGCCGGCCAGACCAUGACCACGGCAAGCGGAAGGAUGCACGAUGGGCUGGGUGACAAGGUGCUUUGCUCUUGCGCAUGUUUGGUGGCGUCUCCGGUGCAGCCGUGCUUCUUGAGGCGACCGACGUGAUGGCGGGUGUGUAUGGCGGCGACCACAAGCUCUCCGGGAGCUCCGCAUCUGAGUCUCGUUCAUCCUCCACAGCAAGGAGCUAGGCCAAGGGAGCUAGCAGCGCUACUGGUUUCUUGAGGCCGGAUCGUGUAAGAUGGUGCACCACGGCGUGCGGCGGCCUAUUCUGUUGUAGUGGUAUUGUGUAUAGUCUCAUCCAGCACUGAGUAUCAAUAUGUUGUUUUAAACCUGAUGAUGUUGUAGCAUAAAGUGGUUACUUGUCUGAUGCACAUUGUUCUUUGCGGGGUUAUGAUGAUAUUUCCAAGGAAAUAUACUGACCCUGAUGUGGCUAAGAUGCCCAUUUGCCCUUUGUGAAACAAUUUUACUCUAUUUUAUGUUCUUCCUGUAUGUCCAGUUUCACAUUGCUGGUGUUUCAUGCCAUAUUCAUCAAUCCUAGUCACAUUACUGUUGUUUUUUCAGUAGCAAAUAAAUAGAUAAACUAAAUGUACUAUAUCUUGGUAUUCUAGAACUUCAGUGCCUCACAGAAGUUUCUUUAUAUCCUACUUUAGCUUGCAAACCUGAUGACUUGUUGUCUGUUCUCAUCCUCAACUACACCUGUAUGCACCUUAGUAGUAAUAAAUACAUUGGUCAUGUAGAUAUCAUUGGGAACUAUAUCUGCGUCCAUAUGUUUUUGCCAUCAUUAAAUGUUGUAAGUAGAGGUUAGAAAUGCAGAACUGUGAUGUUGUGCUGGGAGCACCCUUGCUACAGUCAUGGGUUAGGUUUCAGCUUCACAUCUUCUCAGGUUUAACUAUUGGUUUACAUUGAAACUGUAGCAAGUGUCAAAUGAGUGCAUAGUGUGCAAUUUGUCUAGUAAUCUAGGCGCACAAAAGUAUCAGGCCGUAUGUUUUCUUAUAAGCAAACUAUACUGAUGGUUGUAAGAUGAGUUAAAGUAUACUAGUGCUAUCGUGAUUUCAUACUAAAUGUCAUUCAUUUAUUAGUUUGGUGUUCUAUAUGCUUCUAAUGCAUGAUCCUUUCAAUGCUAGGUGAUUUGAUUUCAGAAGUUGGAAGAGGAAGAUGAUGAAGCAUGGUGUUAUUUUAUCAAUCUGCCUCUUGUUCUGGUUGUACUCUGUAGCUAGUUAUAUUGUAAUUGGUAGUAGUCAGCACAUUUAUUGUAAUCUGCCUCUUGUUCUAGUUAUACUGUAAAGACUAUAAUAGGCUGAUUUUGCAUAUCGGUAGUAGUCAGCACAUUUAUUGUAAUCUGCCUCUUGUUCAAGAAUUUAGUUCUGUUCCAUUUGAAA